rnacentral:rRNA from 1 species
UACGUAGGGGGCAAGCGUUGUCCGGAAUCAUUGGGCGUAAAGAGCGUGUAGGCGGCUCGGUAAGUCCGCUGUGAAAGUCCGGGGCUCAACCCUGGAAUGCCGGUGGAAACUGUCGAGCUAGAGUCCGGAAGAGGCGAGUGGAAUUCCUGGUGUAGCGGUGAAAUGCGCAGAUAUCAGGAGGAACGCACAGUCGGAAGGCAGCUCGCUGGGACGGUACUGACGCUGAGACGCGAAAGCGUGGGGAGCAAACAGG